GGGGGGGGGGGGGGGGGGGCCGAAGAGAGGCAAGGGGAGCGCUGGGGGGUGGUACUUGUACCAACUGGAUGAGCAGCGAACGGGUGAGUAACGCGUGGGGAAUCUGCCUUUGAGCGGGGGACAACAUUUGGAAACGAAUGCUAAUACCGCAUAAAAACUUUAAACACAAGUUUUAAGUUUGAAAGAUGCAAUUGCAUCACUCAAAGAUGAUCCCGCGUUGUAUUAGCUAGUUGGUGAGGUAAAGGCUCACCAAGGCGAUGAUACAUAGCCGACCUGAGAGGGUGAUCGGCCACAUUGGGACUGAGACACGGCCCAAACUCCUACGGGAGGCAGCAGUAGGGAAUCUUCGGCAAUGGACGAAAGUCUGACCGAGCAACGCCGCGUGAGUGAAGAAGGUUUUCGGAUCGUAAAACUCUGUUGGUAGAGAAGAACGUUGGUGAGAGUGGAAAGCUCAUCAAGUGACGGUAACUACCCAGAAAGGGACGGCUAACUACGUG
rnacentral:rRNA from 1 species